rnacentral:lncRNA from 1 species
CUUGGUUGAUGCGCUUGUUUUGUGGAUAUGGUGCGAUCGCGGGUUUGCGUCUCAUUAGCCCAUAUAUAUAUAUAUAUUUUUUUUUCUGUACUGGUAGAGAAGUUUCUUCUACAAAACGGCGCCCGUUUCGCAUCAAAUUGCAAUACUCUUACUAUCAAAUGGUUUACUACAGUUGGAACUUAACCUCGUUUUCUUCACCAACAGGGACAUAUUGUGGCGUCUCUACUGCUUUUAUCUCUACGCCUGACUUGUCGCGCUUGUGGAAAUGAUACAAACCCAAAGUUGCCAGUGCGUAUGAAGAUAACAGAACUGUAUCCACAAUCAUUUUUAUGCAAUGAUUUCCAAUCUAACUUCUUUAUUAGUUCCGAUCCGACAUCAGCAAAGAUAUUAUUUAUGCUUACAUUUUCCGGAUUAUAUAUAUCUAUAUAUAUAUAGAGAAAGAAAUUCUUUCUUACCAUCAAUCAAGUAAGAUUUAAAACACUUUAUUAACGUAGCAUUACGAAAUGUCUGAUUUAUUCAUGCGACCUCUAACGGAUUUUUUUCUACUGGCAGAUCG